UCAUUUUACAUAAUAAGUAAAUUAUUUUCAGAAACUAUUUCAAACAUAUUCUUGUAGUCUAAUGGUAUAAUGCUUGGUUUUGUGGGAAGGAGACCUAGGUUCGAAACCUGGCUCCUCCCAUUUUCGCCUAGGCCUGGCAAUCGUGUCGUGUUCGGGUUGGCGUGUCGCGGGUUGGCGUGUCAAAAUGUGUCAACCCAAACACAACCCAUUUAAAUAUACAAAUCACGGGUUGGCGGGUUUGAAACAUAAACUCAUAUAUGACCCACCAACCCAUUUAUUUAAACGGGUUCAUAAGUUGGCGGGUUCGUGGGUCAGAUUUGGGUUCAUGGGUCCGAAUUUUACAUAUUUAAGUCUUAAACAUCCAAAUGAAGAUUAAAAACAUUCAUAGAAACAUGUUACAAACUUAGCAUUAUAGCUUACGACUUAUGACAUUAGACCAUUCACCACGAGUCAUAAUGUCAAAACAGUCAAAUGGUCUAUGAAUAAAUGGUAUAUUUUUGUAAUACUUAUUAAAUAUCAAUACUUAAUACAUAAAUACAUUUAAAAAUAAAAUAAUUUUUUUAUUAAGAAUAUAAACGGGUUGGCGGGUUAACCCGUUUAUUUUUUGAGAAACCCAUAUAUGACUCGUUUAAUAAACGGGUUGGCGGGUUGAAAAACUCAACCCAAACCCAUUUAUUUUGUGUCGUGUCACGGGUCGUGUCGAGAAUUGCCAGCCCUAUUUUCGCCCAUUUGUUUUUUCCUAUAAAGUCAGCUAUGCUGAUGUGUCUGUCAUGUCACAUCCUACUCAGCAUUUCCUUCAAUCAACUUGGGGGUGACCGGCCAUUAAAUGUGAAAUCCGGCUAGGGGUCAAAAAUGAACAAAUAUACCGGUAUUUGAGGCAUUUAUGCACAAAAAAACUGACUUGGGACGUAACCGGUUAUUUUAUGUAAAACUGAGGGUUUUUAUGACAAAAACCCUAAAAAAAUCAUGCAAGGAGGAAGACUUAAUGCAAUGCCCCUUUUGAGAAAAAAAAAUGUUCAUCUAGAUGUCAUUUAUGAAUUUGGAGACUAUUUGGUAGAAACAAAAUUAUUCAUGCUGAACCAUUAAGAGAUUAGAAUGAUUCAUUACCAUUUGGUAACGUGGUUGAAUGUGUAAAAUCACCAUUUUAGCCUUCUAAUAAAAACAAAACAUUUAUCAGAUUAUAGAUGAACAUUUAUUAAACACAUUUCAACAAAAGAUUUUAGCAAAACAUUUAUUAGAUUUCAUAUGAACAUUUCAGCACAAAUCAACAUCAACAUCAACAUUAUAAACGAAUAACAUAAACCACCACUUUGUACUAAUCAACCAACAAUAUGAAAAGAGAAAAAGAGAAGGGUUUUGGGAACUUUAGAAAUGAUUUUGAAAAGAGAGUAUGGUGGUGGCUACGACGUCAAGGAAGGGGGCGAUGAUUAUAGAUGUUGUUGCGUCGAGUUUUUUUGUUUAGACUCUAGCACACAUAUAGCAUCACUGUUUUAUGUUCAUAUCCAACACAGACACAUAGACAUCAACAUCAAUGGUAGAGUUGGUCAAUGGUGGAGUUGGUUAGAGUAACAUCGAUGGUGACCGAGUAUAGUGGUGUGGGUGGUGGCUGAUGGUUGAGGUGGGGAGGGUGGGGGUUGAUGGUGGAAUGAUUGUUUUUAGAAUUUGUAGAGAGUUUUGUUUAAAGAGAAAAUGAUAAUUAGUUUCUCACCUCUUUGUUAAUGGUGGAAUGAUUGUUUUUAGGGUUUGUAGAGAGUGUUGUUUAAAGAGAAAACAAUAAUUAGUUUCUCAGCUCUUUGCUAACGUUGAAUUGUUCAGAAUCUCUAACCGAUUAAGAGGUUAAAAUUUGAUGAAUCAAAUUCCUAAUGGUUGAACAAUUCAAUGGCUGCCACUUAAUGGUUUCAUUAUGAAGCUAUCAAACAAACCCUGGAUAUGUACAAUCAAUGACCCAUUUUUGAAAUUAUAAAUACAAAUGCAAUUUCUUCUUAACAAAAAAAAUUAAAAAAUUAAAAUAAUUUUUUUGUUGGUCAACAUUGUAGUUGUAAACCAUCACUUGAUGGCUCAUAUUUAUGGGGCUCUCUAUCUAACAAAUAUUAUCAAUUAUUUCAGGUUGCGUGGAUUUGUGCUUAAAUGUGAAAUACAAAAAUACGCGAAAGAUAGAAUACGCAAAGACGUAAAAUAGCCGCAUAUUUGGUCGUUUGAAGACAAAACAAAUUAGGGCUAAAAAAUGUCAAGACUUCAAAACCUCAAGGGACUAUUAUGGAAAUUCAAUUAUCUUAAUUGAAUCAGAGAAGCAAAAAGAAACCCACACAUCCUAUGCAAAGAAAAAAACCCAUGUAUCUUUUCCCUACUACAACUUGCACUUCACACCUACAACUUCAAACCAACUCAAAAUUAAGUGCAAUAGAUAUUUUUCUUUUGUAUACAUAUAUGUACGUGUGUAUGUAAUAUGAGAGAGUGUGUGUUCAUUUGUUGUUUGUAAUACUUCCUACAACAUCACCAAAUACUCCCCAAGAACAUCACCAUCAUCUUCAAGAACAAGCUUCAUCCCUGGCGAUAACCAAGAACAUCAAGAUCAUAAACAACCAAAAAUGAAGAACAUCAUCAACCAUCUUCAUCUUCUUCAUUCAAACUCAAGGUAUUCAUCUUCAACCCAUCAAACAUCAUCAUCUUCAUAAACUUUCACCACCAUCACCACCUUAUAUCAACCUCCUUCCAACCUCAAAAUACUCUCAUAACACCCUCCAAAUACCCUCCUUAAACCUCCUCUAAAAACCCUUUCAAAUCACCACAACCAUCGCCACCUUGUUGUUUUUCGACAUCAAAAUCUUCAAGUCAGAAACGAAGAAAACUGGGCUCAAUACAAGCACAAAAAGACUAGGGAGAUUUUCACCAUCAAUUCUUCAUAACCUUACCUAUAUCUAGAAAUUUUUGUGGACGAUUUUGAACACGGGAAACCCCAAAGACUCGAGAGAGAAUUGGCUAUCCAGAGAGAUUUCUGUUUUCGAGUUCAGAAUCUUCAUGUCAGAAAACAAAAAACUGGGCACAACACAACCAAAAUUCUACUAGGGAGAUUUUUACCAUCAAUUCUUCAGAACCUUACCUACAUCUAGAAAUUUUCGUGGAUGAUUUUGACCACGGGAAACCCAAAGAGACGUGAGAGAGAAUUGGCUAUCCAAACAGAUUUACUCUGUAAAUCUACAUUAAUCACCACCCUAAGCUCUUUCAACAUCACCAUCUUUGCUACCUUACACCACAAAAACUACAACAUUAUUACACUUCCUACCACCCUCCAAAUACCCACUUCAAUCUCAUCAAAUCUCCUCAAAACAUCCAAUACCCGUAUACAAAUACAUGACCCGUGUACUUUGCACUGUUUUGUAAACAACCUGUUUUACAUAAAAAUGAACUUUGUGUUACUUAUCAAAUAUCGGAUUGAUCUUAGAACAAAUAUCGACCAGUUGUGCCAAGAGUCCCAAUAUCGACCAGUCGUUCCAAGAGUCCCAAUAUCGACCAGUCGUUCCAAAAGUCCAAAUAUCGACCAGCCGUUCCGUCAGUCCAGUUCAGUCAAUUUAUUGACGAACCUACUUGAUAUAUAUUUAUAUACUUUAUUACAACUUUAUGUCAUUUAAAUACAAUNUUCAUAUUUUCUCUCUCUCUCUCUCUCUCUAUAUAUAUAUAUAUAUAUAUAUAUAUAUAUUUGUUGUAGUGAUCAGAUUUUUAUAUUUCCAACAAUUGGUAUCUGAGCUGAUAUAAAAGAAUAUUUUCCAACAAUUGGUAUCAGAGUUUGUGUGAUUUACUUUGAAAUUCUUGUCGAAAAACUUAUGGUUAUAGCGUUUAUAAACCUUCCAUAAGUUUUUCUUUAAAAAUUUCAUUUUAAUAUCAAUUGUUAAAAAUCCUUUCAAAAAUUUCAAAAAAAAAUGUCUUUGACAAAUUACUCCAACAUGAACUCUGUCUCCAUUGCAAAUAGCUUAGGAUCUGGUUCACGGGCACCCAUACUUAUUCCUGAAGAGUAUAAUUUGUGGGUUGGCCGUAUGAAUCUUCAUCUUAACGCUAUAAAUGAAGAUAUCUGGAAGUGUGUAGAAGGAACAUAUAUUACUCCAGAAAAUAUGGCUACUCUUGCUACAAAUCAAGCCACUCAAACCGAAAUCAUAAGAAAGUUGGAACUCCAAGCCAAAAAGGAACUUGUGUCUGGAAUACCUCACAGUAUUCUAAGUCAAAUGGAUGACAUUAUACUGUUAACCGCAAAUCAAAUUUGGAAAAUCGUUUUUGUGGAAAUAAAAGAAUUAUCGAAAACAAAAGAACAUCUGUUUUGAAUGAAUUCGAUAAUUUCAAAAUGCUUUCAUCAGAAACCAUUCCGAUAAUUCUUUUAUUUCCACAAAAACGAUUUUCCAAAUUUGAUUUGCGGUUAACAGUAUAAUGUCAUCCAUUUGACUUAGAAUACCGUGAGGUAUUCCAGAUACAUGUUCCUUUUUGGCUUGGAGUUCCAACUUUCUUAUGAUUUCGGUUUGAGUGGCUUGAUUUGUAGCAAGAGUAGCCAUAUUUUCUGAAGUAAUAUAUGUUUCUUCUACACACUUCCAGAUAUCUUCAUUUAUAGCGUUAAGAUGAAGAUUCAUACGGCCAACCCAUGAAUUAUACUCUUCAGGAAUAAGUAUGGGUGCCCGUGAACCAGAUCCUAAGCUAUUUGCAAUGGAGACAGAGUUCUUGUUGGAGUAAUUUGCCAAAGAUAUUUUUUUUUUGAAAUUUUUGAAAGGAUUUUUAACAAUUGAUAUUAAAAUGAAAUUUUUAAAGAAAAAACUUAUGGAAGGUUUAUAAACGCUAUAACCAUAAGUGUUUCGACAAGAAUUUCAAGGUAAAUCACACAAGCUCUGAUACCAAUUGUUGGAAAAUAUUCUUUUAUAUCAGCUCGAUUAUACCAAUUGUUGGAAAUAUAAAAAUUUGAUCACCACAACAAACGGCUCGGUUACCAGUUACUGUGUGAUAGAUAUAUAAGUUUAAGAUAUAAGAUGUAAAUAUAUAUAAAGAAUAAUAAUUGCGGAAUAAGUAUAAAUAUAAAAGCUAUAAAUGACUGAAAGCUAUAAUAAUAUAAAUGACUAUAUUUAAAUGACGUAAAGCUAUAAAUAAUAUAANUGUAUGUGUGUGUGUGUGUGUCUAUAUAUAUAUAUAUAUAUAUAUAUAUAUAUAUAUAUAUAAAGAAUAAUAAUUGCAGAAUAAGUAUAAAUAUGAAAGCUAUAAAUGAUUGUAUUUAAAUGACGUAAAGCUAUAAAUAAUAUAAAUGAUUGUAUUUAAAUGACAUAAAGCUGUAAUAAAUAUAUAUCAAGUAGGUUCGUUAAUAAAUUGACUGAACUGGACUCGUGGAGCGACUGGUCGAUAUUUGGACACUUGGAACGACUGGUCGAUAUUGGGACUGAACUGGACUUGUGGAACGACUGGUCGAUAUUUGGACUCUUGGAACGACUGGUCGAUAUUGGGACUCUUGGAACGACUGGUCGAUAUUAGUUCUAAGAUCAAUCCGGUAUUUGAUAAGUAACACAAAGUUCAUUUUUAUGUAAAACAGGUUGUUUACAAAACAGUGCAAAGUACACGGGUCAUGUAUUUGUAUACGGGUAUUGGAUGUUUUGAGGAGAUUUGAUGAGAUUGAAGUGGGUAUUUGGAGGGUGGUAGGAAGUGUAAUAAUGUUGUAGUUUUUGUGGUGUAAGGUAGCAAAGAUGGUGAUGUUGAAAGAGCUUAGGGUGAUGAUUAAUGUAGAUUUACAGAGUAAAUCUCUUUGGAUAGCCAAUUCUCUCUCACGUCUCUUUGGGUUUCCCGUGGUCAAAAUCAUCCACGAAAAUUUCUAGAUAUAGGUAAGGUUCUGAAGAAUUGAUGGUAAAAAUCUCCCUAGUAGAAUUUUGGUUGUGUUGUGCCCAGUUUUUUGUUUUCUGACAUGAAGAUUCUGAACUCGAAAACAGAAAUCUCUCUGGAUAGCCAAUUCUCUCUCGAGUCUUUGGGGUUUCCCGUGUUCAAAAUCGUCCACAAAAAUUUCUAGAUAUAGGUAAGGUUCUGAAGAAUUGAUGGUGAAAAUCUCCCUAGUAGUAUUUUGGCUGUGUUGCGCUCGGUUUUUUUGUUUUCUAACAUGCAAAUUCUGAUGUCGAAAAACAGCAAGGUGGUGAUGGUUGUGGUGAUUUGAAAGGGAUUUUGGAGGAGGUUUAGAAGGGUAUUUGGAGGGUGUUUGGAGAUUAUUUCGAGGUUGUUUGGAGGUUGGAAGGAGGUUGAUAUAAGGUGGUGAUGCUGAUGAAAGUUUAUGAAGAUGAUGAUGUUUGAUGGGUUGAAGAUGAACACCUUGAGUUUGAAUGAAGAAGAUGAAGAUGGUUGAUGAUGUUCUUCAUUUUUGGUUGUUGUUGAUCUUGAUGUUCUUGGUUAUCUCCAGGGAUGAAGCUUGUUAUUGAAGAAGAUGGUGAUGUUCUUGGGGAGUAUUUGGUGAUGUUGUAGGAAGUAUUACAAACAACAAAUGAACACACACACAACUCUUUACAUACACAAGUACAUAUACAUGGUGAAACAAAUAUCCAAAACACUUGGGUUUAAGUUGGUUUUUGAUGUAGAGUGGCUGCAAGUUGUAGUAGGACAGGAGCAAAAUGACGUUGGUCUUGGGUUUGCUUUUAAUUCUUUGACUAUUCCAUAAAAACUUACAUAAGAGCUUUUAAUUCUUUGACUAUUCUAGAGAGAUUUCUGUUUUCAAGUUCAGAAUCUUCAUGUCAGAAAACAAAAAACUGGGCACAACACAGCCAAAAUUCUACUAGGGAGAUUUUCACCAUCAAUUCUUCAGAACCUUACCUACAUCUAGAAAUUUUCGUGUACGAUUUUGACCACGAUAAACCCCAAAGAGACGUGAGAGAGAAUUGACUAUCCAGAGAGAUUUACUCUGAAAAUCUAUAUUAAUCAGCACCCUAAUCUCUUUCAACAUCACCAUCUUUGCUACCUUACACCACCAAAACUACAACAUUAUUACACUUCCUACCACCCUCCAAAUACCCACUCCAACCUCAUCAAAUUUCCUCAAAACAUCCAAUACCCGUAUACAAAUACAUGACCCGUGUACUUUGCACUGUUUUGUAAACAACCCGUUUUACAUAAAAAUGAACUUUGUGUUACUUAUCAAAUACCGGAUUGAUCUUUAAACAAAUAUCGACCAGUCGUUCCAAGAGUCCCAAUAUCGACCAGUCGUUCCAAGAGUNUAGCCGUUCCAUCAGUCCAGUUCAGUUAAUUUAUUGACGAACCUACUUGAUAUAUAUUUAUAUACUUAUAUACUUUAUUAUAGCUUUAUGUCAUUUAAAUAUAGUCAUUUAUAUUAUUUAUUGCUUUACGUCAUUUAAAU
rnacentral:lncRNA from 1 species